rnacentral:rRNA from 1 species
UACGAAGGGGGCUAGCGUUGUUCGGAAUUACUGGGCGUAAAGCGCGCGCAGGCGGUCCUUCAAGUCAGAGGGGAAAGCCCAGAGCUCAACUCUGGAACGGCCUUUGAGACUAGAGGACUUGGGUACGGGAGAGGUGAGUGGAAUUCCGAGUGUAGAGGUGAAAUUCGUAGAUAUUCGCAAGAACACCAGUGGCGAAGGCGGCUCACUGGCCCGAUACUGACGCUGAGGCACGAAAGCGUGGGGAGCAAACAGG